CCUACGGGGGGCAGCAGUGAGGAAUAUUGGUCAAUGGACGAGAGUCUGAACCAGCCAAGUAGCGUGAAGGAUGACUGCCCUAGGGGUUGUAAAUUUCUUUUAUAUGGGAAUAAAAUGUUCACUGUGUGGGAUUUUGUAUGUACCAUAUGAAUAAGGAUAGGCAAACUCCGUGCCAGCGGCCGCGCUAAUACGGAGGAUACGAGAGUUAUCCGGAUUUAUUGGGUUUAAAGGGAGCGUAGGUGGAUUGUUAAGUCAGUUGUGAAAGUUUGGGGCUCAACCGGAAAAUUGCAGUUGAAACUGGCAGUCUUGAGUACAGUAGAGGUGGGCUGAAUUCGUGGUGUAGCGGUGAAAUGCUUAGAUAUCACGAAGAACUCCGAUUGCGAAGGCAGCUCACUGGACUGCAACUGACACUGAGGCUCGAAAGUGUGGGUAUCAAACAGGAUUAGAUACCCGAGUAGUC
rnacentral:rRNA from 1 species